CCGCUGGGAUGAUCCCACCGAACUCUCUCUUGCUGACCCCCCCUUGGAGAAACCCCCACAGGCUCUGAGCGGC
rnacentral:snoRNA from 1 species